CGUUGUUCGGAUUUACUGGGCGUAAAGGGCGUGUAGGCGGCCACCGCAAGUCGACUGUGAAAUCUCCGGGCUUAACUCGGAAAGGUCAGCCGAUACUGCGGGGCUAGAGUGCAGAAGGGGCAACUGGAAUUCUCGGUGUAGCGGUGAAAUGCGUAGAUAUCGAGAGGAACACCUGCGGCGAAGGCGGGUUGCUGGGCUGACACUGACGCUGAAACGCGAAAGCUAGGGGAGCGAACGGG
rnacentral:rRNA from 1 species